UACGUAGGGUGCAAGCGUUGCCCGGAUUUAUUGGGCGUAAAGGGCGCGUAGGCGGCUCGGCACGUCCGUUGUGAAAUCGCCCGGCUCAACUGGGCGGGGUCAGCGGAUACGGCCGAGCUUGAGCAAGCUAGGGGGCAAUGGAAUUCCCGGUGUAGUGGUGGAAUGCGUAGAUAUGACAUAGAACACCAAUUGCGAAGGCAGCUCACUACACGAAUAUUGACACUGAGGCACGAAAGCGUGGGGAUCAAACAGG
rnacentral:rRNA from 1 species